UGGCUAUCUUGUUUCCCCAGAGAAGAACAGAUCAUGGUUUCUCUUCCCAAGGACACCCAUGUGCCUGUGUGCAGGAAGGAAACAUCUGUGGAGAGGUGAGUGAAUUACCAGUGUGAGGCUGCACUGAGAUACACAAUAGGACUGAUGCUAUGACGGAGUGGAAGUAGGAGUAGGACUGAACCAUCCCCUGUACCUGAUGAUGGAAGGUAUUAGAUGCUGUGGGAAUCAAACCGAGCAGAGUGCCCUACUUGACAAAAGGUGGAGGAAAUGACACUGCACAAGGUCAUGUUGUUUCUGGACAAAGCAUUUGUCACAGCUGCAGAAUUGUUCUGUUUUGGAUGAGAAGGGUAAUGUAUAUUUUUAAUCAAAUAUUUAAGAAAUUGUUCCCGAUAUGAAUGUAUUCUGAUGAACACUGUGUACCAGUCUUUGCUAAUGUUGACUGUCCCUGUGACCUUGGGUGAAUUAUUGCAUCUCUUCAUGCAUAUCCCCAUCUAGGUCUUUCUCCUGGCGAUGGGGUGAGGAUUCAUUAGCUAAUGUUUACAAAGUGUUUUGAAGACAUAAAUACUGCUAUUACUUUAAUGACUCUAAAUUUCAUAAGAUUAAGAGGGCAUCUUGCCCUUUGCACCCUACUCACCAACUGUGGAGUGCAGUAACCAUCCCACAAAUAAAUGCAUCAUUCACAUCAAUCUUACACAUAGCUGUUAUCUGCUACGACAAUUCUUUAUAUAUCUACAUGGUCAUUGGUUGUCCAAUGUCUACACGUGCCUAAUCUUUUAUAGCAAUUAAGGGAUAAAUUGUGUUCAUUUUUACAAAAAAAAAGUUUACACUGGAGAUGAAAUAUUUUUCACAGAGGAAGUAUUUGUUGCUCCAAGUGACUACAGCAUGAUUUUUUUCUCAGUCAGGACAGAUAUAUACUCUCAAGUCCCUCAUUUUCCAGGCAAACAGCAGAAUCUUAUUUAGACCUGGGAGCACAAUUAAAAUGGUGAAAGAUUGAAAUAUGUAAAUUUAUUUUAUGCUGAAUCUCCAGAAGACAUUGGCAGCUAUGGUAGCCAUUGUUGUGUUUUUUCUGUCCUUUCAGACUAAUACUCCCCAAUGCUGUCCUCUGUUUCUCAUGCUGUGGCUUAAUAUGCUACAGGAGAUCUCUCUAGCACUGCGAGGCAAUAGAAGUCUUGAUGAGAGCCACUGAGAAAGAGUAAAUGCUCAUAAAAGUCUGAAAAUCCUACAUACUGCUGAACCUCAGAUUUCCACCAACUCUUAGCGUACUUUAACAUUGCUUUGAUUUAUAUCUUGAUGUACAGUCCCUGUGCUAAUGUUAAAUAAGUGCAGAUUUA